AACGAACGCUGGCGGCAGGCUUAACACAUGCAAGUCGAACGCCCCGCAAGGGGAGUGGCAGACGGGUGAGUAACACGUGGGGAUCUGCCCAAUGGUACGGAAUAAUUCCGGGAAACUGGGACUAAUACCGUAUGUGCCCGCAAGGGGAAAGAUUUAUCGCCAUUGGAUGAACCCGCGUCGGAUUAGCUAGUUGGUGAGGUAAAGGCUCACCAAGGCGACGAUCCGUAGCUGGUCUGAGAGGAUGAUCAGCCACACUGGGACUGAGACACGGCCCAGACUCCUACGGGAGGCAGCAGUGGGGAAUAUUGGACAAUGGGCGCAAGCCUGAUCCAGCCAUGCGGCGUGAGUGAUGAAGGCCCUAGGGUUGUAAAGCUCUUUCACCGGUGAAGAUAAUGACGGUAACCGGAGAAGAAGCCCCGGCUAACUUCGUGCCAGCAGCCGCCGUAACAC
rnacentral:rRNA from 1 species